UCUACCAGGCUCCUCCAUCCAUGGGAUUUUCCAGGCAAAAGUACUGGAGUGGGGUGCCAUUGCCUUCUCCGCCUAUCCACCCUUAGGUAGGCAGAAUGAAGGAGAUCCCGAAAUGUCUUCGUCCCUUGUUCUGUGAAUAUGUCAGGAUACAAGUAGAAGGAGAUUUAAGGUGGCAGGUAAAGUUAAUGUUGCUAAUUAGCUGACCUUUAGGUGGGGCUCAUAGCCUGGAUUUUCCAGGUGAGACCAAUGUAAUCACCGGAGUCUUUAUAUAGAGGAAGGCAGAGGGAGAGAGGUAAGAGAGAGAGGCAGCGCGGUGGUCAAGGCUCGAUCGGCUCGUGCUGGUUUUGAGGGUGGAAAAAGAAAGUGAAGGGCAUGGAUUCUCUUCCAGAGCCUCCAGCGGGAAGGAUGUCCUGUCUACACUGAUCUCCCUGUAAAAACAAAUUGGCCUGUCUGUUUGAAAUACAGUGCAAAGAUGGUGACUCUUAGACCUCCCAGCCAGAGUGUAUCCUACUCACUUGUCAGAGGACCAGACUGGGACACAAGAAGCCAGCCCCCCUGCACAGCCCAGGAUUGCCAGGGGAAUGGCAUUGGGAAGAGCAAGCUGAAUGCCAUGCCACAUGCUGUGACAGGGCCAUCAGCCUAAGCCUGAGACCUGUGUGGUCACUGAUCAAAGCCAAGGGAAGAUGCCAGUGUUGUCUAACUCCCUCCUUGUGGAAGAUGAGAAAAGUAAUGAAAUCCAACACCAUGGGGCUUAAGAGAAUAUAUUGCAGAGCAGACUGGAGGAAGUGGAAUCUGUGUGACUCAGAAGAAAACACACUUCUAUACAUGGUUUCCUACAGAGCACAUAGAACACUUUAGAAAGCAACUUGACAUCCUUGGUACGUUGCUGGGGACAGCGUGGUCCUGGGUUGAGAGAAACAGAAAGCCAGAUUGUGGUAAAAAUACAGUUAGGAAACAGAAGAUGAGUGAGUAAAGCAGUGCUGACGUGGUGAGAGCAGAAUUAAAGUGCUUACCUGGCAGGAAUCCUGGGGCCAGAGGUACUCCCUGGGGUGUCUCCAGGAAUUGGAUGGUGGUUAUUCACUUGAAAACAGGGCUUUGUCAUAUUGCUCUGGUUUCUUUCUAAUCACAAUGUUUGCUUUAAUUUAAAUUUAAAAUAACAUUUAGUCUUCUGGACUGUAACAUUUAUUUUGUUUAGCACAGUAUUCCCAGUGUCCAGCACCAUGCCCAGAUGUUGUCAGAAUCCUGUAACUGUGUGUUCAAUCAAUCACUGAAUGAUGAUUUUAUACUCGUCAAAGUGGGACUGAUGGGACUGGUCAAUUUGAGUCUACUGCUAAUCCCAAUGCUUGUUAGCUAUGUGGCCUUGAGCAAAAUGACCUCUUUGUGCAUCAAAUUUUCUCAUUUGUAAAACAGUGAUUAUAACAAUAUCUUCUGAGUUUUGUGAGGUUUUUACAGAGAUAAGGCAUGUAAGGUAUUUACCCUAAUGCUUUUACAGAUAAGUGCAGAAUAAAUGUUAGCAAUUGUCAUUAUAUUAAAACAGCAACAGCAAAAGAGAACCAUGUAUAAAAUGAAGAUGAUUUGUUGUUCCAGUCAAAAUAACAAAAGGAGUUUCACCUCCUUAGACAAGCUCUGUUAAGAUAGUUAAUUAUAUAUCCUUUUAGAAAAUCAAAGACAUGUUACAAAAUGGUAAGUUUCUCACAAAGAUAAAACCGUUUGACAAAGAAGUUCAGAUUUCUCUGUGAAUUUAAGUGCUAGGAGAAAAAGAAUCAAUACAUUUAAGUUUCAGGGAAAAUGGUGGUGACCCAAGUAUUUAAUUCAUAGGGAGCAAUCAGAGAUGAAAUGAGGGUGAUAACGCAGUACACAAAGAAACAUGAUUCAGUACUUGCAAAUAGGCAAAAUGAUGCCUGUGUCAGGCCCUUCAGUGAAUUGCUGAACCUAGUCUAGGGAACCCUCCUGGAGUUCCUAGGUGAUGUAAGGGAUUAUAUAAGGAUGUGUAUUUAAGUGA